rnacentral:rRNA from 1 species
GAUGAACGCUGGCGGCGUGCUUAACACAUGCAAGUCGAACGAUGAUCCCCCGCUUGCGGGGGUGAUUAGUGGCGAACGGGUGAGUAAUACGUAAGUAACCUGCCCUUGACUCUGGGAUAAGCCUGGGAAACAGGGCCUAAUACUUGAUACUACUUCUUGCCGCAUGGAGGGGGGUGGAGAGGGUUUUACUGGUUUUGGCUGGGCUCACGGCGUAUCGGCUUGUUGGUGGAGUAAUGGCUAACCAAGGUGACGAAGGGUAGCCGGCCUGAGAGGGUGACCGGCCGCCCUGGGUCCUAGGCACGGCCCAGAUUCCGAAUGGAGGCAGCAGGGGGGAAGCUUGCACGAGGGGCGGAAGCCUGAUGCUGCGACGCCGCGUGUGGGAUGACGGCCUUAGGAGUGUAAACCACAUUCGGCAGGGAAGAUGCCACAAGUGACGGUACCUGCAGAAAAAGCGCCGGCUAACUACGUG